ensembl:ncRNA F55C10.7 ncRNA
AGUGAGGAAGUCGUCCCAAAAAUGAAAAGAAGCAAAAGCUAAAGGCGUCCGGAAAGAAAAUGGGAAGGCGCUCUGAAGGAAAAGGUAACUUCUUGUGUCCCUGAAAAUUCAAUAAGGCUAUUGUCUGACCCAAU